GACGAACGCUGGCGGCGUGCUUAACACAUGCAAGUCGAGCGGAGCGGCGAACGGGUGAGUAACGCGUGAGUAACUUCCCCCCUCUCUGGGAUAACAGUUGGAAACGGCUGCUAAUACCGGAUAGUGGGGGAUGACUCGCGUCCUAUCAGCUUGUUGGUGGGGUGGUGGCCUACCAAGGCGACGACGGGUAGCCGGCCUGAGAGGGCGACCGGCCAGACUGGGCUGAUAUACGGCCCAAACUCCUACGGGAGGCAGCGGGUGUGAAGAUUGCCCAAUGGGGGAAACCCGGAUGCAGCAGCGCCGCGUGAGUGAUGACGGCCUUCGGGUUGUACCGCUCUGUUAAACGGGACGGCGAAUAGUGAGAGGGUUUGACGGUACCGGAAUAGAAAGCCACGGCUAACUACGUGCCAGCAGCCGCGGUAAUUC
rnacentral:rRNA from 1 species